ACCUUUGCCGGAGCUACCGAGGCUGGAGGAUCCGAGACCCAGGGUACCCCGGAACUUGUCCCGCGCCAGCUCAGAGCCCGUCCAGGUACCUGCGUGCAACCCGCGCAACCCUGGGCUCGCUUGGAAUUCCUAGGCCGACCUCCGGCGCCUGGGGCUGGAAACCGCGCAGAGCGCCCCAGACUCGGUUUCCACACUGAGCGAAGGUCUCUAUCCGUGGAGACGUCCACUCUCCCCAAGUCCAAUGCCAGGGGUCGUAAUAGGGGGUGUGAAGGCGCUCACAUUCUGGCAGCUCAAAAUUAGUUCCACAAACCGCAUCUACACCAGCGCCUGGACUUAGAGGAGGAUAGCAAUGCCUCCAUCCCCCACCUGGCCUCCUGUGGGAAAAACAGAUCUGUCCUGUGUGUUCAAAAAGACACCCCCCUCUGUCCCUGAAUAUCCUGGUGUUGUCUUUGAAAGUUGCUGCUGUAAAACUACCAUCAGACUGAAAAGCAAUUGUAUAUGUGAAGAGAUGUCAAGAAGAAAAUUCAACUAAAAGACUAAAUCAGUAAAGAGAUCAUUUCUUGUAGCUUAAAAUUAAUUUAUUUCACAAAUAUAGCUAUAAUAUAAAUGAUAAUAAAAUUUCAAAUAUACAGUAUAUUACACACAAUCCCUUCCAAAGGGAUUCUUGAGAGCCACACAAAUGUACUGUUAAAUAGAAACAGAAUUUUAAAAUUUUUACAAUUUUUUUCUGG